rnacentral:rRNA from 1 species
GGAUGACACUUUUCGGAGCGUAAACUCCUUUUAUCAGGAAAGAAUAAUGACGGUACCUGAUGAAUAAGCACCGGCUAACUCCGUGCCAGCAGCCGCGGUAAUACGGGGGGUGCAAGCGUUACUCGGAAUCACUGGGCGUAAAGGACGCGUAGGCGGAUUAUCAAGUCUUUUGUGAAAUCUAGUGGCUUAACCACUAAACUGCUUAGGAAACUGAUAGUCUAGAGUAGGGGAGAGGUAGAUGGAAUUCUUGGUGUAGGGGUAAAAUCCGUAGAGAUCAAGAAGAAUACCCAUUGCGAAAGCGAUCUGCUGGAACCUAACUGACGCUGAGGCGUGAAAGCGUGGGUAGCAAACAGGAUUAGAUACCCUGGUAGUCCACGCCCUAAACGAUGUAUACUAGUUGUUGCUUUGCUAGUCAAGGCAGUAAUGCAGCUAACGCAUUAAGUAUACCGCCUGGGGAGUACGGUCGCAAGAUUAAAACUCAAAGGAAUAGACGGGGACCCGCACAAGCGGUGGAGCAUGUGGUUUAAUUCGAAGAUACGCGAAGAACCUUACCUGGACUUGACAUCCUAAAAACAUCUAAGAGAUUAGAAAGUGCUAGUUUACUAGAAUUUAGUGACAGGUGCUGCACGGCUGUCGUCAGCUCGUGUCGUGAGAUGUUGGGUUAAGUCCCGCAACGAGCGCAACCCACGUGUUUAGUUGCUAACAGCUCGGCUGAGCACUCUAAACAGACUGCCUUCGUAAGGAGGAGGAAGGUGUGGACGACGUCAAGUCAUCAUGGCCCUUAUGUCCAGGGCGACACACGUGC